rnacentral:sRNA from 1 species
AAAAAUUUGUCUAUUUUUGUUAAAUUUACGUCUCCAACGGGGAGAACUAAAUGGAGAGCCAAAAUGA